GUGGCGCCCAGGCCGGGGGUGCCGGGCCAAAGCGGGGCGUAGGGUGAGCGGGGUCCGGGCGGAGCAGGGCUCCCCGGUCCUCUCCUCGCCCCUGCGCCCCCGCGGGUGCCGGGGGCCUGUGCAGACCUAACCCGGGGGGACGCUCUCUCCUGGGAAGCGCCCCAGCUUCCAGAGGGGGUGUGCCAUCCCCCGUGGCCCUGGCCUGUCCGCUGCCCGUGGGUUACAGAGCGCAGAAGGAAAGGCCUGGCUUCACCGCAGGCUGUGUGUUAUCCUGCGGGGGAUCUAGGUCAAGAACGACAUCCCAAAGGGGUAAAUUGUGCGAAAAUUCCUAUUUUCUCUGCAGUGUGAUAGCAGCGGAGAGGAAGGCCCUACUAUCCACUUCGUGGCUGAUACACAUCCAUCUUGAACCAGUGUAAGAAGGUCUGUGGGAGUGAAUCUGCAAGCUUUUGUCUAUGGCAGCACAGAUUAGAGUUUAAAUCCCUUGGAAGAAAUAGCUUGAACCAGAAGAUACUGCCCAUUGAUUGCAAGAUGAAGUUUUAUCUUGAUUAGAUAAAACAGUAAAAUACCUCUUCUGCAAGAGGCAGAAAUUUCUGAUUUCUGCUGAACUCACACCUGUGUGACACUCAUGAAUAUGGAGCUGCAGCUUCUCCCUGAUAUCCUUGUUGCUGCAUGAUGUUCAGAAGUCUCUCAGUUGCUCUCUUUGGAAAGUUGUAGGGUUACAGCACUCCUGGGCAUUCAUCUUUGCUCUAGAAGAACAUAGUGGAUUUUUUUUUUCAUUAGUAUAGCCUUUUGGUUUUUUAAAUAUUUCUAAAACACAAGGAUAAAGGUGUGUCAAAGUGUACACCAAACCUAAUAUUAAAGAUCUCGCCACAAAGAGGUGU